rnacentral:rRNA from 1 species
GACGAACGCUGGCGGCGUGCUUAACACAUGCAAGUCGAACGGUAAGGCUCCAGCUUGCUGGGGUACACGAGUGGCGAACGGGUGAGUAACACGUGGGUGACCUGCCCUGCACUUCGGGAUAAGCCUGGGAAACUGGGUCUAAUACCGGAUAGGACCGCACCGUGAGGGUGUGGUGGAAAGUUUUUUCGGUGGGGGAUGGGCCCGCGGCCUAUCAGCUUGUUGGUGGGGUAAUGGCCUACCAAGGCGGCGACGGGUAGCCGGCCUGAGAGGGUGGACGGCCACAUUGGGACUGAGACACGGCCCAGACUCCUACGGGAGGCAGCAGUGGGGAAUAUUGCACAAUGGGCGGAAGCCUGAUGCAGCGACGCCGCGUGGGGGAUGACGGCCUUCGGGUUGUAAACUCCUUUCACCAUCGACGAAGGGUUUCUGACGGUAGAUGGAGAAGAAGCACCGGCUAACUACGUG